rnacentral:lncRNA from 1 species
CCCUCGGAGGAGGAGGCCAGAGGUCGGGCUGAAGAGGGGAAAAUAAGAUUUGAGAAGAAGUGAGCCAAGGUUGUGGAGGUAAUCUAGAAGAUGCAGGAGGCAAAUGAAAGGGCCAGAGAGGCCGCCAUGAGGGCAAACGAGGCUAAGGCUAACGCCACCAAAGCGGUGGAGACUUGGAGGGAGUCCCCCGAAUUUGAUGCUUUAGCCUAGGAUGCCUAUGUCGUGGUGUUAGAAGAGUUGGUGAAACAUAUCCAAAAGGAGAGGUCGGAUUUUGAUGCAACCUUCUUGGAGGAUGCUUUGGCGGAGUAGAAGGAGGAGCUUCGGAGGCUAUCCGAAGUGGCUGGAGUUUGGGUGUCCCCAGUUGAGGAGGAUACACCAGAGACGACCCCUGUUCCUUAGGAUCCCCCAGAAGCCUAGAUUCCUUUUAUCUUUAUUUUUAUAAGACUUGGUUUGUAUUUAUUACGUUUGCAGAUCAACUUCACUUUUGAUUUAGUAUGGUGCAUUUUAUUUUGGCAGUAAGUUCAUUUUAAUAUGCUUGCUUAUCAAUAUUAUGAGCUACCUUAGUGAUUUCUGAGAUUAUUCCUGCCUGCGCAUGUGGCAGUACUUUGGAUAAUUCCUUAGGAGGAAUUUUCAAUAAGUGUCGUAGCACAUAUGACCUUAGGUCGGCCUACGUGAGGAGCAGGG